GGGGAGCGGUGCGGCAAAGGGGGAUAGGGUUUUUAGUUUUACUGAAAAUGAGUUUAGGUUGUGGGAUUGUAAUUGGGUCUUAGGGUUUUUUUUUUUAAAUUUGGGCUUGUAAUUUGGGCUGACAUGUUUUGUAAUUGGACUAUUUUUGGUUUUGUUUAUUUAUUUUUUUGGUUUCUUAUUUAGGCCCUGGCUAAAUUGGCCUAUUACACUCAAUAUUUUGAGUUUGAUAAAAUUUAAGUAUUAAGAUAGUUUGAGUCUAUAACAAUUCAAGUUAGAUUUGAGUCUGAGAUAUAUUCGAUGUAAAAUCACCUUCGAAUUUGUAUUCUGUUUGUUUUUUUAUUGCCUUUUUUCAAAAGGAAAAAAAGAUCCCUUUCUAUUUACAAAAAUCAGUUUUUGUAACCGAGGAAAUAUUACAAUAUAUGUUUUUCGAUUGCUUGCUUAUGCUUCCUUUCCCUUUUUUGUGUUUCUUGCAGGGGCGGUAAAAGUCAACGGGGUUGCCGCUGCCAUUUUGGUGCAAAGGGAAAGUUUUUGAGCGCCAUGUCCGCUGACAUGUCGGGGAGCGGCGCGGUAAAGGGGGUAUUGGUUUUUAGUUUUACUGAAAAUGAGUUUAGGUUGUGGGCUUGUAAUUGGGUCUUAGGGUUUUAUUUAUUUAUUUUGGGCUUGUAAUUUGGGCUGGGCUGACAUGUUUUGUAAUUGGAUUAUCUUUUUAUUGGACUUUAUUAUUAUUUUUGGUUUAUUUAUUUAUUUUUUUGGUUUCUUAUUUGGGCCCUAGCUAAAUUGGCA
rnacentral:lncRNA from 1 species